GACGAACGCUGGCGGCGUGCUUAACACAUGCAAGUCGAACGGUAAGGCCCUUCGGGGUACACGAGUGGCAAACGGGUGAGUAACACGUGGGUGAUCUGCCCUGCACUUCGGGAUAAGCCUGGGAAACUGGGUCUAAUACCGGAUAGGACCACUGCCUGCAUGGGUGGUGGUGGAAAGCUUUUGCGGUGUGGGAUGGGCCCGCGGCCUAUCAGCUUGUUGGUGGGGUGAUGGCCUACCAGGGCGACGACGGGUAGCCGGCCUGAGAGGGUGACCGGCCACACUGGGACUGAGAUACGGCCCAGACUCCUACGGGAGGCAGCAGUGGGGAAUAUUGCACAAUGGGCGCAAGCCUGAUGCAGCGACGCCGCGUGAGGGAUGACGGCCUUCGGGUUGUAAACCUCUUUCAGCACCGACGAAGCGCAAGUGACGGUAGGUGCAGAAGAAGGACCGGCCAACUACGUGCCAGCAGCCGCAGUAA
rnacentral:rRNA from 1 species